rnacentral:rRNA from 1 species
UACGUAGGGUGCAAGCGUUGUCCGGAAUUAUUGGGCGUAAAGAGCUCGUAGGCGGUCUGUCGCGUCUGCUGUGAAAACUCAGGGCUCAACCCUGAGCCUGCUUCCGAUACGGGCAGACUAGAGGUAUGCAGGGGAGAAUGGAAUUCCUGGUGUAGCGGUGAAAUGCGCAGAUAUCAGGAGGAACACCGGUGGCGAAGGCGGUUCUCUGGGCAUUACCUGACGCUGAGGAGCGAAAGUGUGGGGAGCGAACAGG